rnacentral:rRNA from 1 species
AGUGAACGCUGGCGGUAGGCCUAACACAUGCAAGUCGAACGGCAGCACAGUAAGAGCUUGCUCUUACGGGUGGCGAGUGGAGGACGGGUGAGGAAUACAUCGGAAUCUAAUUUUUCGUGGGGGAUAACGUAGGGAAACUUACGCUAAUACCGCAUACGACCUACGGGUGAAAGCAGGGGAUCUUCGGACCUUGCGCGAUUGAAUGAGCCGAUGUCGGAUUAGCUAGUUGGCGGGGUAAAGGCCCACCAAGGCGACGAUCCGUAGCUGGUCUGAGAGGAUGAUCAGCCACACUGGAACUGAGACACAGUCCAGACUCCUACGGGAGGCAGCAGUGGGGAAUAUUGGACAAUGGGCGCAAGCCUGAUCCAGCCAUACCGCGUGGGUGAAGAAGGCCUUCUGGUUGUAAAGCCCUUUUGUUGGGAAAGAAACGCAGCAGGUUAAUACCCCGCUGUUCUGACGGUACCCAAAGAAUAAGCACCGGCUAACUUCGUG